AAUCAACGCUGGCGGCGUGCCUAACACAUGCAAGUCGAACGAGAAAGUGGAGCAAUCCAUGAGUAAAGUGGCGACCGGGUGAGUAACACGUGACUAACCUACCCUGAAGUGGGGAAUAACCUCGGGAAACCGGGGCUAAUACCGCAUAACAUCGCGAGCUGUAAACGCUUGUGAUCAAAGGAGCAAUUCGCUUUUGGUAGGGGUCGGC
rnacentral:rRNA from 1 species